ACGGUAGAGGAGUAGGGGCCGAAACUGGACGUGGUUCCUCCUGAUGAUGUCUUGAGCUAACUGGAUCCUAUAAAGGAGCUGUUGUGGUAGCAGACCACGAAACAUGGUUGAAAUUCCUCGACUAUACUGAAGCACGGCCUUCAAUGACAAUCAGGGAGUUUACUGCAUCUCACUGGACAUGUUCGAUGGACUAAGAAAAGUCUAAAUGGCAAAAUGUCGGCUCAGCUACAGAUAUCUAACCAUUUCAGUCAAAAACGGAUCAAUGUUCCGGUUAUCUUAAAGAAAAGACCUGAUCCAUUGACACAACGAAAGCCAUGCUGGAUGUUGUGGCAGAAAUCCUAUUCUCAACUGGCUUUUCUAUAAUGGACAAAUU